UACGUAGGGAGCAAGCGUUAUCCGGAUUUAUUGGGUGUAAAGGGUGCGUAGACGGGUAUAUAAGUUAGUUGUGAAAUCCCUCGGCUCAACUGAGGGACUGCAACUAAAACUGUAAAUCUUGAGUGCGGGAGAGGAAAGUGGAAUUCCUAGUGUAGCGGUGAAAUGCGUAGAUAUUAGGAGGAACACCAGUGGCGAAGGCGACUUUCUGGACCGUAACUGACGUUGAGGCACGAAAGUGUGGGGAGCAAACAGG
rnacentral:rRNA from 1 species